ensembl:lncRNA
GUGAGUGGGCCGGGGCGGCAGUUCUAACCGUUGGAACGUAGGUGGGUGGGUGCGGCCGAAGCGCUGGAAGCUUUAUUUCCAAAAUGAAUGAUUUUGAAAUGAUUUCCGGUGAAGAAUGCUGGGGGCGGGGCUGGGGGGAAAAGAGUCCGUUCAAUAUCUGAUGGAUUCGGAGCUGUCAUUCAGUCCGAGAGUCUCAGUCGAGAUCCACCGGCUUCAGGGCCCUGGAGAAAGACCAGAGGUCCUGCUCUUUGGGAAGCUCAUCUUCUAGUGGGGUGGACGGAUUUAAGCAAAUAAGGAAACAAGAGCUGAGGUCCUUCUUCCAGCUUUUCACCACCAGAAUCAAGGGCAUUAAAGAGUGGAAUUCAGUCUAACCUGAGGUAUCAGAAAUGACUUCUAAUAAGAGAUGCUCUAAGCCAAGAUUUCAAACCUCCUCAGAGAGAACUCAGAGCAGAAGUUGGGGAAGAGCAAGGAAGACCACAAAGACCUCACAGUGGGACAAGCAGAGUCCCAGGGACUAAAAAGAAAUGAGGGAGAUGAUGCGAGAUGAGUCCAGAGAACCAAAGGGCCACAUGCAGGGACCUACAGUCUUCCUAAGGAUUCUUACCUUCAUUUUGAAAGUAACACAAACAAAUUGGAGAGUUUUUAGUAGGAAUGACAUGAUCAGACUUUGUGUUUUUAAUGAUCACCUUGACUUCAGUGUAAAGAAUUCAAUCCUUAAAUAAAUAUGUCCUCGGUGCACACUACAGGCCAAGUACUAGUCUGGUCCUGAGUCCACAGCAGUGGACAAAUGCGGACUCCCUGUUUUUGAGGAUCUCAUAGACAACACAUAAAUAGUACAUAAGGUGGUGAGAAGUGCUCUCAAGAUCAUUGGAACCCAGGGACUUCCCUGGCAGUCCAGUGGCUAAGACUCCAUGCUUCCAGGGCAGGGGGCCCAGGUUCGAUCCCUG